rnacentral:rRNA from 1 species
AGGUGGUGCAUGGUUGUCGUCAGCUCGUGUCGUGAGAUUGUUGGGUUAAGUCCCGCAACGAGCCGCAACCCUCGACCUUAGUUGCCAGCAUUCAGUUGGGCACUCUAAGGUGACUGCCGGCUAAAAGUCGGAGGAAGGUGGGGAUGACGUCAAAUCAUCAUGCCCCUUAUGACCUGGGCUACACACGUGCUACAAUGGGCGGUACAAAGGGUCGCGAACCCGCGAGGGGGAGCCAAUCCCAAAAAGCCGCUCUCAGUUCGGAUUGCAGGCUGCAACUCGCCUGCAUGAAGCCGGAAUCGCUAGUAAUCGCGGAUCAGCAUGCCGCGGUGAAUACGUUCCCGGGCCUU